UACGUAGGUGACAAGCGUUGUCCGGAUUUACUGGGCGUAAAGAGCGCGCAGGCGGUCGUUCAAGUCGAGUGUGAAAGCCCCCGGCUCAACUGGGGAGGGUCAUUCGAUACUGAUCGACUCGAAGGCAGGAGAGGGUAGUGGAAUUCCCGGUGUAGUGGUGAAAUGCGCAGAUAUCAGGAGGAACACCGGUGGCGAAGGCGGUUCUCUGGGCCUGUUCUGACGCUGAGGAGCGAAAGCGUGGGGAGCGAACAGG
rnacentral:rRNA from 1 species